rnacentral:rRNA from 1 species
GCAUUAUACCGUGAAACUGCGAAUGGCUCAUUAAAUCAGUUAUCGUUUAUUUGAUAGUACCUUACUACUUGGAUAACCGUGGUAAUUCUAGAGCUAAUACAUGCUAAAAACCCCGACUUCGGAAGGGGUGUAUUUAUUAGAUAAAAAACCAAUGCCCUUCGGGGCUCCUUGGUGAUUCAUAAUAACUUCUCAGAUCGCAUGGCCUUGCGCCGGCGACGGUUCAUUCAAAUUUCUGCCCUAUCAACUUUCGAUGGUAAGGUAUUGGCUUACCAUGGUUUCAACGGGUAACGGGGAAUUAGGGUUCGAUUCCGGAGAGGGAGCCUGAGAAACGGCUACCACAUCCAAGGAAGGCAGCAGGCGCGCAAAUUACCCAAUCCCGACACGGGGAGGUAGUGACAAUAAAUACUGAUACAGGGCUCUUUUGGGUCUUGUAAUUGGAAUGAGUACAAUUUAAACCUCUUAACGAGGAACAAUUGGAGGGCAAGUCUGGUGCCAGCAGCCGCGGUAAUUCCAGCUCCAAUAGCGUAUAUUAAAGUUGUUGCAGUUAAAAAGCUCGUAGUUGAACCUUUGGCCUGGCUGGCAGGUCCGCCUCACCGCGUGCACUUGUCCGGCCGGGCCUUCUCUUCUGGAGAACCGCAUGCCCUUCACUGGGUGUGUUGGGGACCAGGACUUUUACUUUGAAAAAAUUAGAGUGUUCAAAGCAGGCCUUUGCUCGAAUACGUUAGCAUGGAAUAAUAGAAUAGGACGUGCGGUCCUAUUUUGUUGGUUUCUAGGACCGCCGUAAUGAUUAAUAGGGACAGUCGGGGGCAUCAGUAUUCAAUUGUCAGAGGUGAAAUUCUUGGAUUUAUUGAAGACUAACUACUGCGAAAGCAUUUGCCAAGGAUGUUUUCAUUAAUCAGUGAACGAAAGUUA